CAGUCGCCGCGGGAAUACAGAGGGUGCAAGCGUUAAUCGGAAUUACUGGGCGUAAAGCGCGCGUAGGUGGUUUGUUAAGUUGGAUGUGAAAUCACCGGGCUCAACCUGGGAACUGCAUCCAAAACUGGCAAGCUAGAGUAUGGUAGAGGGUGGUGGAAUUUCCUGUGUAGCGGUGAAAUGCGUAGAUAUAGGAAGGAACACCAGUGGCGAAGGCGACCACAUGGACUGAUACUGACACUGAGGUGCGAAAGCGUGGGGAGCAAACAGGAUUAGAUACCCCAGUAGUCCCUGUCUCUUAUAA
rnacentral:rRNA from 1 species